GAUGAACGCUAGCGGCAGGCCUAACACAUGCAAGUCGAGGGGUAACUAGAGUGAUAGCAAUAUUACUUUGGCUAGACCGGCGCACGGGUGCGUAACACGUAUGCAACCUACCUUAUUCUGGGGAAUAACUUCGAGAAAUCGGCGCUAAUACCCCAUAACAUUGCGAAGAGGCAUCUCUUCGCAAUUAAAGCUCCGGCGGUAUAAGAUGGGCAUGCGUCCAAUUAGCUAGUUGGUGAGGUAACGGCUCACCAAGGCUACGAUUGGUAGGGGUUCUGAGAGGAUGAUCCCCCACACUGGUACUGAGACACGGACCAGACUCCUACGGGAGGCAGCAGUGAGGAAUAUUGCGCAAUGGACGAAAGUCUGACGCAGCCAUGCCGCGUGCAGGAUGACGGCCCUAUGGGUUGUAAACUGCUUUUGUACGGGAAUAAACCCUUCUACGUGUAGGAGGCUGAAGGUACCGUAAGAAUAAGCACCGGCUAACUCCGUGCCAGCAGCCGCCGUAACAC
rnacentral:rRNA from 1 species